rnacentral:lncRNA from 1 species
CUUAAUAUUUCCUUACUAACACAACGUAAUUAAAACGUUUAGCUGAUUUUACAGAGUUAUUUCCCUGUAGUGUUAGGUACCACCUUAAGAUAGGAAGGUGAACAACAUCUGAAAUAGACAAAAUAGAAAAUAUAUAUGAAAAUAGUUUAUUUCAAAAUUAUCUUUUAGUAGGUUCUCAGGGUUAUUAACGCAUUUGAAUGGGGACAUAUGGUUGGAACCCCCCUUUUUAAAGAUGACUGGAUCUGCACUUUAUCAUGUACCACUAAUUGCAAUAAUGUUACUGAAGAGACUGAUGUAUAAUAUAGACCAAUGCCAAGUUGUUUUUAUUUUUGAAUGCGUUGCACUGGUUACCCUGAGGUCAAUCACGAAAAUGCACAUUGGGUCUUACUGUGAUGUAUAAACAUGAUUAUAGUGACAGGAAUGUAAGGGGAAGUGCAAGAAUUUCGUCUGUUUCUCUUUUAUUAUAACAACAAAAUAAGCAAAUAAUAGGUAUACAUCUUAUCGACUUUUAAAUUAAAAUUAUUCUAUUUUGUUUUGGAAAUUUAUUUAAGAAAGUUACCAUUAACCCAAACAGCAAAUAUUGCAAAAAAAGUUAUUUAGUAUUAACUUUCUUGUACUUUAAAAAGACACUGAUUGAUAGAAUGGAUGUAAUGACCAGUCUACAUUGCAUUAAUAAUACAGAUCUUUGUCGGAUACACCAAUCAUGAGUUUCAUUUUAUGAAUGGAUUACACCAGGUGACCGAGGUCAAUAUGCCUUAAUGGUAUCAUAAAACAAUCGGUUCUAACUGUGACGAAAAAAACACAAUAGAAUUUGGCAAUCACACUACAUCUCUUUAUUUUGACAUUUCACAAUCCUCACAAUUAGUUUUUUACAUGAAGUCAAUUUGAACUUGAUUUACUAUUUCAGUUUUUGUAUAUUGAUGUCUGUGCUUCAUUGUAGUGCUGUCAAUAAUUUUUUAUUUAUUCAGAUGUAUGUUCCUUAGAUUUAAUAUAAACAUAUUUGUUUCAUAUUGAAAACACAUUAUGACUCUUAUUUUACCGUAUAAUACCUUUAAUAUGUUUUAUGAUAAUUUAUCUUGCCUUUUCCUGUAAAUGAUAUAUAAGUCUCAUUAUAUAAUUAUUUAGAUUUAUGUAGUAUUAUAUGGUUGUUGCAUGGUUUUGGUUGCACUGUAAUUUUGUAUUUUUAUUAUGGCCCCGCAAGUUUUUUUCUAAACGCCUUCAGAUAUUGGGCUGAUUUUUGGUAUGUGAGUUAACCAUGAUGAGUUACAGAUCAAGUUUAAGUUUCAUUCCGCUCCACUAAUUUUUGCCGAAAUUACAGACUUUGGACUUUGAUAAAUUAUUGAAAAUCAUAGUUAUACGGAUUUUUUUUCUAUACCCCUCCAGAUUUUGAGCUGAUUUUUUAUAUGUGAGACUACCAUCAUGUUUGUGUUCACAUGUGUUAUUGAAAUUGCAGAUUUUUCAACUUUUUGGGAUGGGGCCAUUUGUGUUGCUUUGACACAUCUAGUUGUUGUAUGGUUUUUGUUACACUUUAGUUUUGUAUCUCUGUAUCUGUUAUUUUGUCAUUUUAAUAUACUAUUAUAUAUUUUGUUAUCUUAAUGAAUGAAUGUAUAACCACAUUUUGAAAAUGUUAUAACAAGGUGUUAGAAGUUAUCUUUUCAACCUUUCUUACCAUUUACAUGAAAAAUAAAUUCU